GGGGGGAGUGCCGGAUCUUGGGCUGUGUCCCCGGCGCCCUGUGGUCCUGGGCCUGUGCUGUUGGAUUCGUGCUCCUGGCCGCGCUGCCCCCU
rnacentral:pre_miRNA from 1 species